UGUUUAUGUUCUUGUUAAUUCCUACAGGGAGGCAACGACAAAACCUACAUUUGCGCUAACAACAACUCUGCUGUCCUGUUUGUCUUUGCCCUGCUGAACAACAGUGCACUAACCACUCAAAGUGACGUAUCAAGCAUUGCUAAUGUCAGUGCUUCAAUCAAUCAAACCACCAUCCAGUGUGUGUUUGAUGUGAUUGGCCUGAACGCAACAUCCCGUGCCAAUGCUGCAACCACCUUUUCAAUUGUACUGGCCAAUGGGACUGUUUCUGCUGAUGGUUCACUUUCAAACCCGACUGUGCGAACAGUCACUGCACAGCUAGACCUGUCCAACGUCACUAGCACCAACACAGCAA